GUGGUGCAAGAGCUGACCGUACAGAGCAGGAUUAGAUUUAGCAGGGCUCUGGUGCCUGACCAGUGUGCCCUUUAGGUGUGUCAUUCUUGGAGGUGGUCGGGUGUUGCUCUGGCUUGAUCUGAAGUUGACCACUAAGUGUGUGAGCCCUGGAGUCUCCUGGGAGGGGACCUGCGGCAGGCUAAGUUCAGCUAUAGCCUGUGCCCUGCCUGUGGCCACCUGGCAUGAGCCACAAAGCAAUCCACAGAUGGCCGUCAUUUGCACUGAGUUUGGAGCUCUUCUGUCUGGGAGAAAGCUGACCCUCUAGCCCUCAUUCUGAAGCCAGAUCAUUCAGUUCCUCUUCCUGUGCCUGGCACCUUUACACCUGCUGCCGCAACGCUGGAGCUCAGAGCCGGUGAAUCCAUCAGGAAGUAGGUAGACUUGACAUUGCCACCAUUAUCUCAUUGAAGAAAUUGAUGCUCCAGGUGAACUUGGGCAACUAAAGCCUUCCUUGUGGUAGAGCUUUGCCCUUCCCAUCCCUCAAAGGGGAGAUGAAGCCACAAGACUCUCCAGUUGACAAGUACAACGUAGUGGUUGGGGCAGGGAGGAAAGACCUCAGCGACAAUGGCUUCUCCUCCUUUUGUGCAGUGACAAUUUGAGAACGGGUAGAAGAGAUUGCGCUGCGGAAGGAGCAACUGAGCAUCCAUCCACUGAGGUCCGGACGCCCUCAAAGUUGGCGAAUUUCUGUUGUGCCCCUUUCGCACAGCUACACAUUUUUUAGCUCUGUCUCCUCUCCCUUUGGUCUCUGUGUCUCCGUUCAACCAGCACCAUGGAAGCGCGGGUCUCAUUUCCCAGGCGCUGCCAGUGGUGCCAUCGCCCAGCAGAGGGCAGCAUUGAGAUACUAAUGACGUGUGCCCAGGGCGUCUGCGUCGGCAAGAGGAACCGCAGGGCCCACACUUGUUCCAGGCACUAACCUUUUAAACAAUUCCCUGGGGAGCCCUUUAUGCCCUGUGUGGGCUGCCCGAAAAUGAGCAGGCGAUAGGAAUGAAAUAUUAAACAAUUCUGUUCCGCGGAAUGAAAAUGAGUUGUCAUUUAGCAUUUUAUCAGUUGAU